GGGGGAUUAGCUCAAAUGGUAGAGCGCGCGCUUUGCAUGCAUGAGGUAGCGGGAUCGAUGCCCGCAACCUCCA
rnacentral:tRNA from 1 species